GCAGUAUUUUGACUGUGCAAAGGUAGCAUAAUCAUUAGUCUUUUAAUUAAGGGCUUGCAUGAAGGAUUGGACGAGGUGAAUACUGUUUUAUGUAAAUUAAAAUUGAAUUUAGAUUUUAAGUAAAAAGACUUAAAUAUAAUUAAAGGACGAGAAG
rnacentral:rRNA from 1 species